UACGUAGGGUGCAAGCGUUGUCCGGAAUUAUUGGGCGUAAAGAGCUCGUAGGCGGUUUGUCGCGUCUGCUGUGAAAACUCGCAGCUCAACUGCGAGCCUGCGGUCGAUACGGGCAGGCUAGAGUUCGGUAGGGGAGACUGGAAUUCCUGGUGUAGCGGUGAAAUGCGCAGAUAUCAGGAGGAACACCGAUGGCGAAGGCAGGUCUCUGGGCCGAUACUGACGCUGAGGAGCGAAAGCGUGGGGAGCGAACAGG
rnacentral:rRNA from 1 species